CCCACCAAUGUCGUCCUGUACUCGAGCGAUCGAGUCUCGACUGAUUUAUAUCAUUAUGAUUAUGAUAACAAUACCUUGAAAGUAAUUGUUUACACCUGCACGUUAAUCCAAGUUUAAGGCGUCUAGCUGUGCCUUGUUCACACCUGUUAUCAUGUGAUUAAAAUAUAAAAGAUGA